rnacentral:lncRNA from 1 species
GGACAGAAAAAAAAAACAGGAGAAGACGACAGAAGAAGAAAAUUGUUGCAGAAGGAAAAUUGCAGGAGCACAAAUACAAGAAGAGACAUUUUCACAGGUAGAUUGAUCCUGUCAAUUAAUUCUUGUUGGGUGGCAACCCUAAAAUCAUUCUCUUGGAUGAUAAAUCCAUAAUGGGUGGCAACCCUUAAAUCAUGAACAACAAAUCCAUGAGAGGAUUUCUGUUUAACAAAGCUCUGCCGAGCAAAAGAGAAUCCUUUGAAAUGGAUGCAAAAUAUUGGAUACAAAAUCCAUUAUGGGUGUGUAACCCUCAAACAAAUACCCUAAAUGAUAUAUCCAUUUUUGGGCAUAAAACUCGUUCAGUGGGUUCUCAAGAGCACAAAUCCAAUUUGGGUACAAAACCCACAAACAAAAUCACCGAGGGUUUAAUCUCACAGCAAAAUAAAAAUAAACUGUGCUUGAUCAACCAUACAACCAUACUGGUCAAUUUGCGGAGCAAGCCCAAAGCCCUCCAUUCCUUUAAACCAUCUUUUCCCUUCCUUUACCAGACCACAAUGGUUACAAGCAGACAAAGGAAAACAAAAAAAAAAGAGGAAGCAGCCACCAAGAAAAAGAAGAAGAAAAGUCA